GAUGAACGCUGGCGGCGUGCCUAAUACAUGCAAGUCGAGCGAACAGAUGAGGAGCUUGCUCCUCUGACGUUAGCGGCGGACGGGUGAGUAACACGUGGAUAACCUACCUAUAAGACUGGGAUAACUUCGGGAAACCGGAGCUAAUACCGGAUAAUAUAUUGAACCGCAUGGUUCAAUAGUGAAAGACGGUUUUGCUGUCACUUAUAGAUGGAUCCGCGCCGCAUUAGCUAGUUGGUAAGGUAACGGCUUACCAAGGCAACGAUGCGUAGCCGACCUGAGAGGGUGAUCGGCCACACUGGAACUGAGACACGGUCCAGACUCCUACGGGAGGCAGCAUUAGGGAAUCUUCCGCAAUGGGCGAAAGCCUGACGGAGCAACGCCGCGUGAGUGAUGAAGGUCUUCGGAUCGUAAAACUCUGUUAUUAGGGAAGAACAAAUGCGUAAGUAACUAUGCACGUCUUGACGGUACCUAAUCAGAAAGCCACGGCUAACUACGUG
rnacentral:rRNA from 1 species